AGCAAAUUCACUGCACUUUGUUCCAAAGUCCAGAGCAAAUAGUUAUAAAAGAAAUGAGAGUGGAUUGUAGCAACUGUCUGUACUAAAAAGCUCCCAAACAAGCCCUAUCAGUAGUCAUCCAUCUUUUCCGAGUAAACAGUUGUACAGUCGCAAAAAACGGAGCAGUACGGCUGGCUUUAACCUGGCAAAUUUCCCUCCACUUCAUGUUUAUGUCUCCGAUCUGAUCCCAGAUGAUCUGCAUUAAACUGGAUUAUAUGAGUCUCCAUUUCCAAAUAAUCGGGGAUAAGAAGAUAAUCAGGGAUUAGAUCCUGGGAUAUAACGGCAAUGUGGAGAAACAGAUCUGAUUGGUUCCUUGAACAUCCCACCAAUUAUGGCAUGAACGCAGAGAUACAACGGAAUAAGCUCCAUCCCCAAUGUGGACAAGGUGUGGCAAUUAGAGGAUUGAUUUUAGGUAAAUGUCUUCUUAAUUAUGCAGCAGACUUC
rnacentral:lncRNA from 11 species